AAAGCUCUUUCGCAAGGGAAGAAACGAUUUAGGUGAAUAAUCUAAGUUAAUGACGGUACCUUGAUAAGAAGCACCGGCUAACUACGUGCCAGCAGCCGCGGUAAUACGUAGGGUGCGAGCGUUAAUCGGAAUUACUGGGCGUAAAGCGUGCGCAGGCGGUUUGAUAAGUCAGAUGUGAAAUCCCCGAGCUCAACUUGGGAACUGCGUUUGAAACUGUCAAGCUAGAAUAGGUCAGAGGGGGGUAGAAUUCCACGUGUAGCAGUGAAAUGCGUAGAGAUGUGGAGGAAUAUCAAUGGCGAAGGCAGCCCCCUGGGAUCAUAUUGACGCUCAUGCACGAAAGCGUGGGGAGCAAACAGGAUUAGAUACCCUGGUAGUCCACGCCCUAAACGAUGUCAACUAGUUGUUGGUAGAGUAAAAUCUAUGAGUAACGCAGCUAACGCGUGAAGUUGACCGCCUGGGG
rnacentral:rRNA from 1 species